UAUCUUGUGCAUGAUGGGAAAGAUGAAGAUGUCUUUUGAUGAUGCUUUGAAGACAACCGAGCCACUUCCUAUGCGUAAGGUGACUCCUCCAACAGAAAUCCUUGCUGCACUAAAGAAGGUACCAGAUUUGGAAGAUAGUGAUAUGUUGAGAGCUUAUGGAAAAUUGAUUGUCAAUGAGCGUUUGUUUGAAGCACUCAUGGCGCUACCCGAGGAGUUAAGGAAGCCAUGGCUCUUGACCUUCGAUUAAUUGUUACUAUCCUGUUUAGUUGAUGUAUGGACUCUUGUUUGUGAACUAUCCACUUGUGCUAUGUGUAAGAGACAUAAAACUAUCUACUUGUGCUAUGUGUAAGAGACAUAAACUACCAAAAUUAUUAUCCAUGUUGUUUUCUUGGUACUUUAAAACUAUUUUCUGGCAUCCUUCCUUUUUCCAUAUUUAUUUCUACUUGUGUUAUUGUUUUGACCUUAUUCAGAACAUUUUAAUGUUAUUAUGUGUGUAAAAUAAUAUAUAUAUAUAUAUAUAUUCAAAUAUACACAUAAUACUUUUUUUCAUACAUGUACAGAAGUUUCUAUUGUCCAAACUCAAAAAACAUCCAAUUCCAUGGUUUGUACAUCCAAACAGCAAUUGGAAUUGAGUGCUACCCUCUAAUUCCAACAAUAAAUUCCAUGCACAUCCAAACAAUAGAAUUCAAAUUGGAGCCCAUUUCCUUUCCAUCUUAGAUUUGGAAUUUCCAGUCCAAUUCAAUUCCAAGCAAUUUUUCCUACAUCCAAACACAACGUAAGGGAUAUUAAGGCCUCCUUUUAAUAGAGUACAGGACCAAAGCAUUAACACAUAGUGAAUGCAUGAACUCCUCAAACGACGAUCAUCACCGGGAGUGGUCCCGAUUAUUGUCACUUCGGGGUUGCCGGAUCAUAACACAUAGUAGGUGACUAUAGGCUUGCAAGAUAGGAUCAAGAACUCACAUAUAUUCAUGAAAACAUAAUAGGUUCGGAUCUGAAAUCAUGGCACUCGGGCCCUAGUGACAAGCAUUAAGCAUAGCAAAGUCAUAGCAACAUCAAUCUCAGAACAUAGUGGAUACUAGGGAUCAAACCCUAACAAAACUAACUCGAUUACAUGAUAAAUCUCAUCCAACCCAUCACCGUCCAGCAAGCCUACGAUGGAAUUACUCACGCACGGCGGUGAGCAUCAUGAAAUUGGUGAUGGAGGAUGGUUGAUGAUGACGAUGGCGACGGAUUCCCCUCUCCGGAGCCCCGAACAAACUCCAGAUCAGCCCUCCUGAGAAAGAUUAGGGCUUGGUGGCGGCUCCGUAUCGUAAAACGCGAUGAAUCUUUCUCUCUGAUUUUUUUCUCCCCGAACACGAAUAUAUAGAGUUGGAGUUGAGGUCGGUGGAGCUCCAGGGGGCCCACGAGGCAGAGGGCGCGCCCAGGGGGGUAGGCGCGCCCCCACCCUUGUGGACAGGGCGUGGGCCCCCUGGCCUUGAUUCUUUCGCCGGUAUUUUUUAUUAAUUCCAAAAUAAUUCUCCGUUGAUUUUCAGGUCAUUCCGAGAACUUUUGUUUCUGCACAAAAAUAACACCAUGGCAAUUCUGCUGAAAACAGCAUCAGUCCGGGUUAGUUCCAUUCAAAUCAUGCAAGUUAGAGUCCAAAACAAGGGCAAAAGUGUUUGGAAAAGUAGAUACGACGGAGACGUAUCAGAGCACUACAACAUUUCUGAUAAGUAUAUGUGAAUGACAUAUUGUUGAUCAGAAAUAAUAUAGAAUUUUCUGGAAAGCAUAAAGGAGUAUUUGAAAGGAGUCUUUUCAAAUAAAGACCUCGGUGAAGCUUCUUACAUAUUGAGCAUCAAGAUCUAUAGAGAUAGAUCACGACGCUUGAUAAGUUUUUUCAAUGAGUACAUACCUUGACAAGAUUUUGAAGUAGUUCAAAAUGGAACAGCCAAAGAAAGAGUUCUUGCCUGUGUUACAAGGUGUGAAAUUGAGUAAGACUCAAAGCCCGACCACGGCAGAAGAUAGAAAGAGAAUGAAAGUCAUUCCCUAUGCCUCAGCCAUAGGUUCUAUAAAGUAUGCCAUGCUGUGUACCAGAUCUAUUGUAUACCCUACACUGAGUUUAGCAAGGGAGUACAAUAGUGAUCUAGGAGUAGAUCACUGGACAGCGGUCAAAAAUUAUCCUUAGUGGAAUAAGGAUAUGUUUCUCGAUUAUGGAGGUGACAAAAGGUUCGUCGUAAAGGGUUAUGUCAAUGCAAGUUUUGACACUAAUCCGGAUGACUCUAAAUCUCAAUCUGGAUACAUAUUGAAAGUGGAAAUUAGCUAGAGUAGCUCCGUGCAGAGCAUUGUUGACAUAGAAAUUUGCAAAAUACAUACGGAUCUGAAUGUGGCAGACCCGUUGACUAAACUUCUCUCACAAGCAAAACAUGAUCACACCUUAGUACUCUUUGGGUGUUAAUCACAUAGCAAUGUGAACUAGAUUAUUGACUCUAGUAAACCCUUUGGGUGUUGGUCACAUGACGAUGUGAACUAUGGGUGUUAAUCACAUAGUGAUGUGAACUAUUGGUAUUAAAUCACAUGGCGAUGUGAGCUAGAUUAUUGACUCUAGUGCAAGUGGGAGACUGAAGGAAAUAUGCCCUAGAGGCAAUAAUAAAGUUGUUAUUUAUAUUUCCUUAUAUCAUGAUAAAUGUUUAUUAUUCAUGCUAGAAUUGCAUUAAACCGGAAACUUAGUACAUGUGUGAAUAUAUAGACAAACUAAGUGUCACUAGUAUGCCUCUACUUGACUAGCUCGUUGAAUCAAAGAUGGUUAAGUUUCCUAGCCAUAGACAUGAGUUGUCAUUUGAUUAACGGGAUCACAUCAUUAGACAAUGAUGUGAUUGACUUGACCCAUUCUGUUAGCUUAGCACUUGAUCGUUUAGUAUGUUGCUAUUGCUUUCUUCAUGACUUAUACAUGUUCCUAUGACUAUGAGAUUAUGCAACUCCCGAAUACCGGGGGAACACUUUGUGUGCUACCAAACGUCACAACAUAACUGGGUGAUUACAAAGGUGCUCUACAGGUGUCUCCGAUGGUACUUGUCGAGUUGGCAUAGAUCAAGAUUAGGAUUUGUCACUCCGAUUGUCGGAGAGGUAUCUCUGGGCCCUCUCGGUAAUGCACAUCACUAUAAGCCUUGCCAGCAAUGUGACUAAUGAGUUAGUUGCGGGAUGAUGCAUUACGGAACGAGUAAAGAGACUUGCCGGUAACAAGAUUGAGCUAGGUAUUGAGAUACCGACGAUCGAAUCUUGGGCAAGUAACAUACCGAUGACAAAGGGAACAACGUAUGUUGUUAUGCGGUUUGACCGCUAAAGAUCUUCAUAGAAUAUGUGGGAGCCAAUAUGAGCAUCCAGGUUCCGCUAUUGGUUAUUGACCGGAGACGAGUCUCGGUCAUGUCUACAUAGUUCUCGAACCCGUAGGGUCCGCACGCUUAACGUUCGGUGACGAUCGGUAUUAUGAGUUUAUGUGUUUUGAAAUGUAGUUAGGAGCCCCGGAUGAGAUCGGUGACAUGACGAGGAGUCUCGAAAUGGUCGAGACGUAAAGAUCGAUAUAUUGGACGACUAUAUUCGGACAACAGAAAGGUUUCGAGUGAUUCGGGUAUUUAUCAGAGUACCAGAGAGUUACGGGAAUUCGCCGGGGAGUAUAUGGGCCUUAUUGGGCUUUAGGGGAAAGAGAGAGGGGAGGCUACGCGCCCCCCAAGGCCUAGUCCGAAUUGGACUAGGGGGAGGGGCGGCGCCCCCUCCUUCCUUCUCUUCUCUUUUCCCUUUCCUUCUCUCCUACUCCUACUACAUGGAAGGGGAGGAAUCCUACUCCCGGUGGGAGUAGGACUCCCCAGGGCGCGCCAUAGUAGAGGGCCGGCCCUCCCCCUCCUCCACUCCUUUUUAUACGGUGGAGGGGGCACCCCAUGGACACACAAGUUGAUCACUGAUCUCUUAGCCGUGUGCGGUGCCCCCCUCCACCAUAAUCCACCUCGGUCAUAUCGUUGCAGUGCUUAGGCGAAGCCCUGCGCCGGUAGCUUCAUCAUCACCGUCAUCAUGCCGUCGUGCUGACGAAGCUCUCCCUCGACACUCUGCUGGAUCGUGAGUUCGUGGGACGUCACCGAGCCGAACGUGUGCAGAUCGCGGAGGUGUCGUACUUUCGGUACUAGGAUCGGUCGAUCGUGAAGACGUACGACUACAUCAACCGCGUUGUCAUAACGCUUCCGCUUACGGUCUACGAGGAUACGUGGACAACACUCUCCCCUCUUGUUGCUAUGCAUCACCAUGAUGUUGUGUGUGCGUAGGAAAUUUUUGAAAUUACUACGUUCCCCAACAUCUAUCAUAGUCCUUUCGAUAAGUAAGAGUGUCGAACCCAACGAGGAGCAGAAGGAAAUGACAAGCGAUUACAGCAAGGUAUUCUCUGCAAGCGCUGAAAUUAUCGGUAACAGAUAGUUGUGUGAUAAGAUAAUUCGUAACGAGUAACAAGUAACAAAAGUAACUAAGGUGCAGCAAGGUGGCCCAAUCCUUUUUGUAGCAAAGGACAAGUCUGGACGAACUCUUAUAUAAAGCAAAGCGCUUCCGAGGACACGUGGGAAUUACUGUCAAGCUAGUUUUCAUCAUGCUCAUAUGAUUCGCGUUCGUUACUUUGAUAAUUUGAUAUGUGGGUGGACCGGUGCUUGGGUGCUGUCCUUACUUGGACAAGCCUCCCACUUAUGAUUAACCCUUCUCGCAAGCAUCCGCAACUACGAAAGAAGAAUUAAGAUAAAUCUAACCAUAGCAUUAAACAUAUGGAUCCAAAUCAACACCUUAUGAAGCAGCGCAUAAACUAGGGUUUAAACUUCUGUCACUCUAGCAACCCAUCAUCUACUUAUAAUUUCCCAAUGCCUUCCCCUAGGCCCAAACAAUGGUGAAGUGUCAUGUAGUCGACACUCACAUAACACCACUAGAGGAGAGACAACAUACAUCUCAUCAAAAUAUCGAACGAAUACCAAAUUCACAUAAUUACUUAUAACAAGACUUCUCCCAUGUCCUCAGGAAUAAACCUAACUACUUAUAAAGCAUAUUCAUGUUCAUAAUCAGAGGAGUAAUAAUUAUCAUUAAGGAUUUGAACAUAUGAUCUUCCACCGAAUAAACCAACUAGCAUCAACUACAAGGAGUAAUCAACACUACUAGCAACCCACAGGUACCAAUCUGAGGUUUUGAGACAAAGAUCGGAUACAAGAGAUGAACUAGGGUUUGAGAGGAGAUGGUGCUGCUGAAGAUGUUGAUGGAGAUUGACCCCCUCUCGGUGAGAGGAUCGUUGGUGAUGACGAUGGCGAUGAUUUCCUCCUCCGGGAGGGAAGUUUCCCCGGCAGAACAGCUCUGCCGGAGCCCUAGAUUGGUUCUGCCCAGGUUCCGCCUCGAGACGGCGGCUCUUCGUCCCGAAAGCUUCCUCUUGAUUUUUUAAGGUCAAAACACAUCAUAUAGCAGAAGAUGGGCACUGGGGGCCUGUCAGGUGGCCCACAAGGUAGGGUCGCGCCCAAGGGGUAGGGCGCGCCCUCCACCCUUGUGGAUGCCUGGUGGGUCCCCUCUGGUACUUUCUUCGCCCAAUAUUUAUUAUAUAUUCCAAAAUGAUUCUCUGUAAAUUUUUAGGACUUUUGGAGCUGUGCAGAAUAGGUCCUUCAAAUUUGCUCCUUUCCGGUCCAGAAUUCCAGCUGUCGGCAUUCUCCCCCUUUGUGUAAACCUUGUGAAAUAAGAGAGAAAAGGCAUAAGUAUUUGUGCUAUAAUGUGUAAUAACAGCCCAUAAUGCAAUAAAUAUCAAUAUAAAGCAUGAUGCAAAAUGGACGUAUCAAGGGCUAGCUCUAAUUGAUCAAUUAGGACCAACAAGAACUAGAACUAGAUCAACUAGAAGAGGCACCAAAACUUGUGUAUUCAAUACAGCAAAAUCCCCUAGUAUAUAUAGGUUAGAGGGGAGGGAGAGGGCAGCCACCAAGGGGGGAAAGUCCUCCCUUGUGCGCCGGCCUAGGGGCCUCCCCAAGUCCAAUCCCCCCUCCCUCCCCACACACACAAGGAAAGGGAGAGCGCCUUCCUACUUGGGCCCUUGUAGCCCAAGUUGCCUUCCACCUCUUUGCCUUUUUAGGCCUAUUGAUAUUUAAAUUAAAUAUAAAUAUUCUAAAUAUUUCCAGACCAUUAUAUAUAUAUAUAUGUAUAUAUAUAAUUUCACAUCUUCGGAAACAAUUUUCACCUAUAUAUAUUUAUCGGGUAAUACCCGGUAUUACCCGAUAUUCACCGACACCCUUCUGGUGACCCCAAAAUGCUUCCGGAACCUCUCAGAACUAUUUUAGAUAUUAAUGAAACAAUUUCACAAAUAUAUUGUCAUUAAUCCCAUACCACUAACACUCAGCAUAUCAUGAUUACCUUAAGCUUGUGACCCCGUAGGUUUGGUAAAUCAUAGACAUGAACGAAAACCCCUUCGUACAGUGACCGAUGGUGGAACCGUAGACAUCCAUAUCGGUCCCUAUGAUUACACGAAUGAUAUUCAUGUGAACCUUUGGUUAUCAUGUGAUGUCCCUUUGCUUCACGAUAUUUUACAAAACCCGGUGUGCAUCGGUAUCCUCCUGAGCCAUCACUAUGCUCACUAUACCGUUGCUCCUGUUACGGUUUUGUUCUUCUUUCUCAUUGACGUGUUCUGGCAUCCCUGUGACGUAGUCACCUGUGUCUAGCCAAACGAUGAUGGAUGUCGUCACACCGAGAGGGCCCUAAAAAUAUCUCUCCAUCGGCGAAGGAGAAAAUCCCACUCUUGAGUUAUUCAAGCACUUACCAAACUUUCCAGUGAGCCUGAAAGUUGCCGUUAUGAUCACCUUGUUACAGAUGAUGUUUGAGUUGUUGUAAAUAUGCAUAAACAUUUAUUUUCCGGUGAGCCUAAACUUUCCGGUUUUUAUUUAUUCAUUUAUUGGUUUUCUUUAUUUUUUCAUUCCUUUUGCAUUUGUUUCUUCAGCAUUUUUAUUUUCUUUUUAUUUGUUUUUUUUGCUUUUCAUUUUCACUUUUCUUUGUUUCUUUUGGUUUUCAUUCUACAUUUCUUGUAUAUGUAAACAACAUUUUUCUAAUAACGUUUAAAUUAUUCAAAUACAAAAUUAACAUUUUCUUAAUACAUUGUCAACAUUGUUUCUAAUACACAUUAUUAAUAUUUUUUAAAUACAAGAUUAAUAUUUUUCAAAUACAAGAUUAACAUUUUUUGAAUACUUGGUCAACAUUUCCCUAUACACACUUUUAAAAAAAAUUCAGAUUAUUAAUUAAAAAAUUCAAAUAAAAAUUUAACAUUUUUAAUACAUGGUCAACAUUUUUCUAUACACACUUAACAUUUUCCAAAUGCUUGAUUAACAUUAUUCAAACAUUUGUUUAACAUUUUUCAAAUGCUUGAUUAAUAUUUUUAUAUACAAGAUAAAUUUUUUAUCAUUUCUUUAAUACAUGAUCAACAUUUUUUCUAUACACAUUUAACAUUUCCCAAAAUUCUUUAUUAAAAAAAUUCAAAUACUUGUUCAACAAAUGUUUUUCAAAUUCUUGAUUAACAUUUUGUAUAGAUGAUCAAGAAAAAUCACCAUUUUUAAUACAUGUUCAACAACUUUUCUAUAAACGCUAAAUAUUUUUUAAAUGCUUGAUUAACAUUUUUCAAAUACUUGUUCAACAUUUUUCAGAUACUUGGUCAACAUUUUCUGAAUUCUUGAUUAACAUUUUUCCAAUACCCGUUCAACAUUUUUCAAAUACUUGUUCAACGUUUUCGAAAUGCUUGUUCAGCAUUUUAGAAAUGUUUUUUGUAGAGUGUUUUUUCUAACACAUAUAUUUAGAAAUUUUUUAAGUACGAACAAAAUUAAAAAAGUAAUGCAAAAAACGAAAAUAGAAAAUGUAAAAAAAAGAAAAAAGAGGCUGUGGCCUGCCGUGCUUCUGGGCUAGCCCAUCUCGGUCUCCCGUUCAGCGAGGGCUCCUCCCUCUCGCUGAACGCGAGAUAUAGGGGCGCCCGCCUACCGCAGCCUUUAAAAGAGAAAAAUGUUGACGUGCUUAUUUGGCGUGUACACCCUCUGAAACAGGUUCGGUUCAGCUUAGUCGGGCUCCUUGUCAGUUGUAGCGGUCUCAGUCCUCUGCACCAGGGGGAUUAGCUAGGGUUUAACGAGCCGCAGCGACCACCAUGACGGCCACAAACGCGGCGGCGGCGGCGGCGGAGUCGGACGCGGAGGCCAGGAGCAUCCUCGAGCGGGCCGCGGCGGCAUCCUUCCCGCCGCUCCAUGCCGUCCACCACCUCCUCUCCGUCGGGGUUCGGCUCCUCACCCAUCCUUAUCUUCCCCUCAAAAUUACGGCAGCCUUUUGAGCUAGAAGGAAGAAAUCUCGACAGCUUUAUAGAUUGAUGCUGUUCCUUAGUAGCAACAGGACUAGAAUUUCCCCUUCGGAGAACAGCUCAGUCACUUUUUUUUUUCCUCUGCGAUGAAGUUAGCUACUUGAAGCAAAGUAGAAGAAACCCCAAAUUCAGUCGUCCUUUUGACGGCCGGGCGGUUUUCGGUGGUAGAUGCACUACCUCCUUGCUGUGCAAUCUUUGCUACUGAUUCCUCACUUCUCUCAUAUUUAAUGUGUGGUACUUCGUUUAUCUCCCCCAAUAUCUGUUUGUGUAGUUGUUAAGUGAGAUUAAUCCACCAAUGUACAGUUUUAUAGAUCCGAUGAGCAUUUGCUAGGAGAGUGGUUGAUUGUUUGAGCAGCUUCGCUAAGAUAGAUGGGAUUCUGAAAACUGUGUCACCCCCCGUGAUUGAUAUCUGUGUUAAUUCUUUAUGGAACUAGAAGUAAGGGGGAAUAUAGAGAACUCUGACUGUGUUUAAGAUAAAGUGAACCAGAAAGAACAGUUGUUCUUUAUUGUGUAUGUAAACAUGUGUGCGAUGUGGACAGGGUGGAGCUUUUUCUGACCAUUGGCUCUCAUCCCGUUGCAUUUUUCUGCUGACCUGCCUGUUAAUGCAUAAUUCACAACUGGAGAAAAAUCAUCAACGUUACUGUCAUGUUGCAGGUUUGUGUGCGAUGCAUCUUUCGCAUGUUUGGAGCCUUUAGCCAUGCCUGCUCAUGUGCGUCUCUUACGGUCUCUUUCUUCCAUUCAUUUCUUGAAGAGCAUGAUGAUUCCGCAAAAGGCGGGCCUUGCUCAUGUUUGUCAACAGAUGAAUCAUGCUGCUCUAUUUGCUUUGGAAUAUUGCUGCCCACCUGCCAUCAGGAUGAGGGUGUAGUACCGUUUGAUGACAUUUCUCGUAUCGACAUAAUUACUUCAAUGGUAUCUCAAGCAAUACAAAGAGAGGGUUAUCAAAUCGAUGGGUUUUCUUUAGAAAUUUCACUGCCUGCAGUUGUAGCAGCGAAUGAACGUGCCAUCAGGUAACCAUCCCUACUUGAGAAUCUCUGCUUCAGUUUUUUUCUGUGGCACCUUUAAUUUAAUAUAUGGCAGUGGUAAUUCAAGGAGAUGACAUUAUAUAGUCUAUACUAACCAGAUUUAUAAUCUAGAAGGUUGUCUUCUCAAUUGAAUAUAUGGUGAUAUUUGACACAACCAAUGUUAAAAGAACUUCCAACUCUGUUCACGGCAGUGAGCUAAAUUUGGUUUUGGUGGAUACUGAAUAAUUACAAUUAAGAUCAUGUCUUACCUGCUCUCAAAUGUGUAUGGGUGUUUUUGUGUGCGUUUCAUUCUAAUCUUAAUGUUCUUGUAAUACAUGUGAUGAUUCUAAACUGUUGUUCUCAUAAUGUGUUCUCCUUUUCCCUCUUAAUAGGUUAUAUAUGAAAGAAAAAUAUGGCAGUGAAAAUUGGUUCAAGGACGAAAUGUUUUCUCAACAAACCAUGUCAGCGAAGGAGGGUCUGAGACUGUUGAUAGCACCAUCGCUCGAGAAACAACUGGUAGGAUCUUCUGUGAUUGCCUUUUGUCUUGGAGCGUUGUGCAACCAACAAUUGCUUGACUAAACAAAUACAUGCAGGGUGUUAAGCACGGUAACAAUUCAUUUCGAAUUCGCUUAACAUAUACUCAUGAUGAUGCUUCACUGAAGCUCAAAAGUUUAUUGCCAAAUGACAGUAAUCGUAAAAGGAAAGCAGGUAAGUCCUUUAGUGGUCAUUUACUAACAAGGUAACUUGAUCAUCCUUCUGGAUUUAUCAGAUUUUUCAUUCAUAUAAUGAUUUGUCUGAUGUUGUAACAGAGUCAAGAGAAGGAAAUGAUACUAGAAGGAACUCAACAUAUGAUGAUAAACAGACAUUAAGUGAAGCAGAUUCAUUCAUCCACAAGUCCCUUCAGGGUAUUCAAGAUAAAGAAUUCUGUAGUUUAUUUAAGUUGCCUCCUGAAAAGGUGCCCACUGUACUAUUGCAAUACCGCUUUACCCCCAGAAAUUGGCCAUGUAUUAUACUGAUUUUUUUAGAUCAACUUAAUUGAUUCCCCCUUCAGGUGUCCAAACCUUGCCAUCUUGUGAUAUCCUUCCUAAGGUCGCCCAUAUAUAUUGGCGGAAGAUACUUGAAGGUAUGUUCAAGUAAUCCUUGGUUUUAACCAGUGUGGUUCAUUACCAGAAUGUCAAUUAUAGCAGAACACCAAUUUUUGCUGUCAGUAAGGACUAAUUCCCUAGUAGCAAACUUAUGAAAUGCCUUCUUGAUCGAUAAUCAUUGCUUUCUUGAAGGUUACCCAUCAAGAACUAUGUAGCUCUGUAAACUCACUUUCCAAUCUCAUUAAAGGUGAUGAAAAGAUUCAAAUAGUUGUUAUGAAUAAUACAAAAUGUCGUGUCAAAAUCAAAUAGUUUUCUUUCAAAGAGGCCACACUGUACCUUUGUGCCAUAAUAUCAGUUGCAUGCGCCUUGGUAUUUGUUUCCCUAUGCUCAAUAUACAUAAACAAACUACCUGUGUGUUUGCUCUUCAGUUAAACUUGUUGAUGUUCAAAAAAGAUUCUGAAUCCCUCGUGUUACUAAUUGCCAUUGUCAGCUUUCAAGAAAUGUCAGUCAGUCAUGUUGGAUAAUUGAUGAUGAAAGAAUGGGGGAAGCAUCAGUUGAGGUAAAACACACUGCAUCAGAGUCAAGACCCAACCCAACAAGCUGAACAUCAUUGCACCUUUUUUGUAGGAGAUAAUUAAAGAGAGUGUCUGUGCCAUCUCCAGAGGUGAUGGCUACAAGUUCCAUGCUGCUGGAAGAGAAGAUAUCGAUGUAAGGUUGUAGUUUGGAACUGUAUCUGUUGGUAUAUGGUAUGCUGAAUGUCUCGCAUACACAGGUACGGAUGCUUGGAUCUGGUCGUCCAUUUCUAAUUGAAGUCCUGAAUGUGCGAUCAAUUCCAUCUGCGAUUGAAAUUCAACAAAUUUCUGACAAGAUUAAUAGCUCCGAAAAGAAACAUGUAAGGAAUCAAAUUCAUGCUGGAUUGACGUUGCAGGUCAUAGUUACACACAGAUUGCAUAUCAUAUGCUUAUGACUCGAAUUUUCUAGGUCAGAAUCAGAAAUCUCAAGUUGGUAGACAAUGAAAUAUGGGCCAUGAUGCGUGAAGGGGAAGCGGAGAAGCAGGUGCUCCAUUCAAUUGGUGACAGUAUCAUUUAGCUGAAAUGAUAGUGUCAGUUAUUCUAAUCAUUUACAUUUUUUUGUCACAUCACAUCACAUUACCUUACACAUUGCCUUGUCUUGCGAAACAACACAAUCCUUACCUGAUCAUCAAGGUUUACUCUUACUUUAUGUGUGCAGAAGCAGUAUGCUGCCCUCAUAUGGACUUCUAGUCCUCUGACGGAUGAUGACCUGCAGAAAAUUUCUGUUAUUAAUGAUAUGGUACAGUAUAUUUGCUUACUAGUAAACCCAGCGAGCUAGUUUGAUUUUGUUCUCUUGUUGUUUUAUUGGAUAAGUUGGGGUUUUGCAUGUACAUGUGUCGGAGUAAAGCUUUGGGUUAUUUUUACCUAAGCAAGUGUAGUACUGAGGCAGGUAGCGGGGAAUAAGCCUGUUGAGAUAUGAGAUGAACUUUAAUAUUUGCUUUUUUUUUUGUGCCAGGAUUGAUAUUCUUUGCUAGCGUAUCCGUGCUUUUGUUAAGACAGUUUGUUUGUCAUGAGUAUAUAUGUGAUGAAUUGACUGGGACUUUAUCCGGAGUUUAUUCACCUAUUUUGUGUUGAUAUCUUGCUACUCGGGUACACUAAGCCAACACUCCCUAUGAAGUACACAUAAUAAUGGCAUCUCUUUUUUUCCUGCCUUCUAGGAAAUUGUACAAAAUACCCCCAUAAGGGUUCUUCAUCGAAGAAGCCCGUUGGAGCGGAAACGGAUUAUACAUUGGUAAGAGUUGAGACUGGUUCCAGCUUUAUGUAAUCUGUUUCAUUGUUCUAUUUUUCUCCUUUCAAAAAUCCACUUUGUAUUUCAUUCAUCUGUCAAUCAGGAUGGAGAUUGAGAAAGUUGAAGGCAGCUCAAACUAUUACUUGUUGCAUCUAUGCACUCAGGUACCAUCUUGCCAAAGUUAGUAGGUUAUUUGUCUCCAGAGUUAGUUUCUGUCUAUAGACAUUCUGAUUUUGUAUGUCCUAAUUGCUGGAAAAAUGCAGCAUUUGCUGGACGCUUGUGUAAAUAUCUUCAUUAGAAGUGUACCGUAGUUUUCUAUUUCCUGUUUGAUCGACUGUGAUGUGUUUACAGGCAGGAACGUACAUUAAGGAGUUUGUGCACGGUGAUCUUGGACGCACAAAUCCGAGGUAACCAUCCUUCCUGUCUAUUUUUCAGGUUCCUUGCCAGUUGCCAUUUAGAGCAUGGUUAAUAGUAUAGCCAGCUGAUGGCUAUAUGAGUGUGACAUGUCAUCAAGAGUUAGCAUUAUUAAGAGCAUGGUUAAUAGUAUAGCCAACUGCUGGCUAUAUGAUGUUGCCAUGUCAUAUAUAGUCAUCACUUAUAGUCACUCAUACAACAAGGUUAGCUAUAAAGUUGGCUAUAAGAGUACUACUCCCUCCGUCUAGGUGUGUAAGUCAUCUUACGAAAACCAAAUAAUCCCAAAACACUUAGGCGCGGUACAUUAACUCUCAUCUCGUUUCUUGUUUCGUGACAUAUCAACCAAUAAGAGAUGUGGGCCAUGCAUGCUUUAAAUGAUUUGAGACUACCAAACACGACAUGCAUUGGUUAGUUCAUUGCAUGCAUUGUUAUUAAUUAGCAAAAACACAUUAAGUUCUCUCGUUUUCCCCUCCACCUUGGUCACGGUGCGCAACAUAAGAUGACUUACAUACCUAGACGGAGGGAGUACUUUUUUUCAUCCUCUCUCUAUCUCUUUCUUCAUAUUUAUUGCAUUUGCCUAGGAGUACGCAUAUAGCUAGGCUCUUGCAUGAGAGCCCACUCCCACCAUUUUUUCAUGUCUCUCUCCUCCACAUAGGCAAAAGUGCCAUGUAACUCUUGAUGACAUGGCACGCUCAUAUAGCCAGCAGCUGGCUAUACUAUUAACCAUGCUCUCAGCUAUCUCUGGCGCUCUUAAAGAAACAUGUAAUGCAUGUUUAACCGUGAAGGUCUCCUCUCAAGCCCCAUUCACCAUCUGCAGAUAAAUAAGAAAUGAAUUUACAUCCCUGGAGUACAAUUUUAUUAAUUUCUGAUGAGCUUCUUUGCGCAUGCUUGCGCUCUUGCUAUUGCAGUAUCGGUUCCAUGCUACGUUGCAGAGCCGAGAUACUGCAACUCGAUGUCACGGACGUUAAGAUGGACUUGCUGCAAUAGUAUGCAGCUGCCACAUGAUACCAUUUGGGGCAAUUACUUUGGUAGUGGAGGCGCUCUGAUAAGCCAAGAUUCCCGCGGAAGACUAUGCCGUUGGCAAGUGCUCUAGGAACGGCGAAUUGUUUUUCUCAUGGAGUGCGUAACUUGAUGUCAAUUGUAAAAUGUACACCAGCCAGGGGAACCCAGCAACAAUUUUGAGAAAUUGGGGGGAAUUUGGCCCCAUUUGGCUCCAACGUUUACCUUUUCCCAGAGCAACAAUUUAGAGAAAAUUGAGAAACUGAACCAUUCGGUCCCAAUGCCUUAUCUGUUUUGCCACCACGUGUCGUUGUGCUGCUAAACAAUCAUAUUCCCCUCGAGAGGAAGUACUAGAUGAUAUUCAAUGAGCAGCAUCACAUGGACGACAGGAAAAAUUUGAUAUCGAGAAUUUACUGCAGUGAGGCUGAUACUCAGUUUUUAAUGUACUUUGUUUUUCCAUUUCUAAUACUACCUCUGUACCAAAAUAUAAGACGUUUCUGCCGGCUGUUCGGUUUCUUCUUUUUUCGAGUUUUGACACGGUUUCUCUUGCUCAAAGUAGCGUGUGUUUCAUUGGUCUGGUAGGAACAAGAUUUGAAAGGGCGCCUGCAGCCUUGGCAAGUUGGCAUCCUGCGACGGCUGUACAAUACUUGGCCAUCCUGCCGCAAGGGAAGCUCGAGAAAUACUUGGCCAUCCUGCCGCUUCUGCUCUGCAUGCAUCUUCAUGCCGUGACGAGACACGAAAGGAACUUUGCUUUCUGUCCUAAACUAAAAGCGAGAGAUUAAACUGAAAACUGAAAUGUGCAAAGACAUCCUACGCCCCUAUGCGUUUCUUCCCUCCGUCGCGUGUGCGCUUCCUUGGAAUAACUUGUGCUAGUCGAUGUGCUUUCUCCUCCCGGCCUAGCCUCGCCUACCUUGCAUGUCCAGCCAUGUCCAGUUGUCCACACCAAAGAAAACUUCCUCCAUGGAGCCAAGUUUUGCUCCGUGCCAUCCUCUAUAAAUCGCUGCUCACCCACGCCCAGACAAAUCACACAGCUUACUUUCCUUUCCCAACAUAGUUCUUGAACAAGCCUGGUGGUGAGUCCCUCGCCAUGGCCUCCACCAAGCUCAGCUUCAAGAGGAUGGACAGCGUUGCCGAGACCAUGCCCGACGCGCUGCGGCAGAGCCGCUACCAGAUGAAGAGAUGCUUCCAGCGCUACGUGUCCAAGGGCCGCAGGCUCCUCAAGAACCAGCAGCUCAUGGAGGAGCUCGAGAGGUCGCUCGACGACAAGGUCGAGAAGGAGAAGCUCGUCGAAGGCUUCCUCGGCUACAUCAUUUGUUCCACCCAGGUUGGUUGUUAUUUCGCUUUAGUAUUCACCCAAUUCACUUCUGCCGUACAAUAGCUAAAGUUUGAUAGAAGGAAGGAGAGCUUAUGAAAGUAUUGUGUCCUUGUUAUGCUCGCAGGAAGCGGUAGUCCUGCCACCGUUCGUCGCGUUCGCCGUCAGAAUGAACCCUGGCAUCUGGGAGUACGUCAAGGUUCACGCCGACGAUCUGUCGGUCGAAGGAAUCACGCCGUCCGAGUACCUCAAGUUCAAAGAGACGUUAUACGAUGAGAAAUGGUAUGUACAUUUGCUGAUAUGAUCUAAGCUUCAGAUGGAUGAGAAAUGCAAUUCGAUUCUAUGUAGGUGUGAAACUGAAAAAGAAACUUUUUUGUUCAUGUGAAUUCCAGGGCCAAGGAUGACAACUCGCUGGAGGUUGAUUUCGGCGCUCUUGACCUCUCAACACCACGUCUGACACUUCCCUCAUCCAUAGGGAACGGGAUGCAGUUCGUCUCCAAGUUCAUGUCUUCGAAGCUGAAUGGCAAGCCUGAAAGCAUGAAGCCGUUGCUCGACUAUUUACUCACUCUGAAUUACCGCGGAGAGGUAAGGAGUUCAGCCAUUCACAUCACAGAGAUUAUCAAAAUUAACAGACUGGUCAGACUCAUAUAUCCUUGCAAAACAUACAGAAGCUGAUGGUUAACGACACAAUCGACACGGUGAAUAAGCUUCAAACAGCGCUGCUCCUUGCAGAAGUUUUUGUCAGUGGGCUGCCAAAAUUCACACCAUAUUUGAAAUUUGAACAAAGGUAAUGUACAGCCAAAUUAAGUAGCUUAAAAAAUCUAUGGUGCCAAAAAUGCCUAAGGUUUCUUUACAAUGGUCCUGCAGAUUUCAAGAGUGGGGAUUGGAGAAAGGGUGGGGUGAAAAUGCUGAGACGUGCAAGGAGACGCUGAAUUUCCUAUCUGAAGUGCUCCAGGCGCCGGAUCCUAUCAACAUGGAGAAGUUCUUCAGCAGGGUUCCAUCCAUUUUUAACAUUGUUGUGUUCUCUAUCCAUGGUUACUUUGGCCAAGAGAAGGUUCUAGGCUUGCCAGACACCGGCGGUCAGGUAUCGAUAUCAUCAAAUCGUAGGAAAUAAUACUCUGAUCAGCUUAUAUCAUACUCUGAAGGCAUGGUUUCUCCGUAACAGGUUGUCUACAUCCUGGACCAAGUCAGGUCCAUGGAAGAGGAGCUUCUGCAAAGAAUCAAGCUGCAGGGUUUGCAUAUAACACCAAAGAUUCUUGUGGUAAAGCUAUUUACAGCGUGAUCAUAGCCAUUCCUGCUAUCUCUGUAUUUGUAGAACUGAUAAACUAAUGUCUACUCUUGUGCUGCAGCUAACAAGACUGAUACCAGAUUCCAAAGGUACAAAGUGUAAUGUGGAGCUCGAACCGGUUGAAAACACAAAAUAUUCACACAUACUACGUGUGCCGUUCAAGACUGAAGAUGGGAAGGAUUUGCGCCAGUGGGUUUCCCGGUUUGACAUUUACCCUUACCUAGAGAGAUAUGCCCAGGUUUGCCACCUACAAAUUAUUAAUCAUCAGCACUCUUGUCUCUUGUGUUAAGAGAUCUUGCGUAAAAUUGAAAAGCGAUGCAAUUUCAGGAUGCCUCUGCCAAAAUUCUUGACAUUCUAGAGGGCAAACCAGACUUGAUCAUUGGCAACUACACUGAUGGCAACUUGGUGGCGUCCCUCAUGGCGAGCAAACUAGGAGUCACACAGGUGAGAAAAUGUCUAAUCAAAUAGGAUUCCUCAGGAUUUCUUUUGCCACCAAUCACAGCUGAUGUCACAUCCCUAAAUGAUCUUCCUGACAGGGAACGAUAGCACAUGCUCUCGAAAAGACGAAGUAUGAGGACUCGGAUACCAAGUGGAGAGAGCUGGACCAGAAGUACCACUUCUCCUGUCAAUUCACUGCUGAUAUUAUUGCCAUGAACACUACUGACUUUAUCAUCACUAGCACAUACCAAGAAAUCGCUGGAAGGUCUGUAUACUGAAUCUUAUUUUAACUUCGGUGCUCGAAGUACUUACUCCUAGAACUUCUUAACAUAAAUAUGUGUGAUGCAGCAAAGAGAAGCCUGGCCAGUAUGAACACCACUAUGCAUUCACAAUGCCCGGCCUUUGCCGCUACGCCACAGGCAUCAAUGUCUUCGACCCGAAGUUCAACAUUGCUGCACCUGGCGCCGAUCAGUCCGUCUACUUCCCCUUCACACAGAAGCAGAAGCGGCUGACAGCUUUACACCCUCAGAUUGAGGAGUUACUGUACAGUAAGGAGGACACAGAUGAACACAUGUAAGUUCCUUACAAACACUGAAACACACAUACUUUCAUUUCAUCAGAUGAAGUUGCUAACUGUGAUGCUGUCAAAUCAGAGGAUAUCUGGCAGACAGAAGUAAGCCAAUCAUCUUCUCGAUGGCGAGGCUGGACAAGGUGAAGAACAUCACUGGACUAGUCGAGUGGUAUGGGCAGAACAAGAAGGUCAGGGACCUUGUGAACCUCGUCGUCGUUGCAGGCCUCCUGAAUGCUGCACAGUCCAAGGACCGAGAAGAGAUAGAUGAGAUCAACAAGAUGCACAAUUUGAUCGACAAGUACCAGCUAAAAGGACAGAUCCGCUGGAUCAAGGCACAGACCGACCGUGUCCGCAAUGGCGAGCUGUACCGUUACAUUGCAGAUACAAAGGGUGCAUUUGUUCAGGUAUACAAUAAGCUACAAAUCUAAUUGCUCGAUCAUGAACAAUAUAUGCCUCCAUCCUCUGAAGUGGAUGAAACCUCAACUCUAGCAUUUACUUUCUUUCUUUCUUGAAAUAAAACCUCAACACUAGCCUUUUCUUUGGUUUCAGCCUGCUCUGUAUGAAGCAUUUGGGCUAACAGUCAUCGAGGCGAUGAACUGCGGGCUGCCAACCUUCGCGACAAACCAAGGAGGGCCGGCAGAGAUCAUCGUCGACGGGGUGUCGGGUUUCCACAUAAACCCAAUGAACGGCAGGGAGGCAGGCACCAAGAUUGCAGACUUCUUCCAGAAGUGCAAGGAAGACCCAGGCUACUGGAACAAGAUGUCCACUGCCGGGCUUCAGCGCAUCUACGAAUGGUAGGCAUCGACUCUUAUCCUACCUCAGGAGUGGUCGUCUUCCUUUCGCCUGGUAAGAAUACUAACCAAUACAUGAUGGCAGCUACACAUGGAAGAUCUAUGCAACCAAGGUGCUGAACAUGGGGUCAAUGUAUGGCUUCUGGAGGACUCUGAACAAGGAAGAGAGAGUGGCCAAGCAACGCUACAUGCAGAUGUUCUACAACCUUCAGUUCAGGAACCUGGUGAGUCUAUGAUCUGAUAAUAUCUGAUGCAGUGGCCAAUGCACAAUGCAAACAAGAUCAAUGACCAAUAUCAUCUUGUCUUUCAGGUGAAGACCGUCCCCAGAGUAGGGGAGCAGCCUCCAAGACCCGCGACCACGACAGGGGCGGCGGCGGAGCGUAACCAGAUCGUGGCAAGGCCGAGAGAAAGGCAAGUGUGCGCACUCUUACGAAAUUUACUGCGGAAAGACCGGGGAAGCAACUGACUGACCCGUUUGUUGUUUGGGGGAUUUGGGUGCUGCUGCAGAAAGCCGCAGGGUCGGGUCCAAAGGUUAGUCACUGUUCGGUUCUUCCUCCUUCCAGCAAUGCAUCAAAUUAUCUGUAGAACAAUCGAGUGAUGAGUACUGACCUUUGUGCUGUGUGCUCAGGAUGAUGACCAGCCUGCUCGGGCCGAAGCCGCCGACGUAUGAACAGAACGGCUACAGAUGAACUAUGAUUGUACUCUGGAGCAAGAUGCUCGCAGCUCGAUUCAUUCCAUUGGUGACAUAGUGUGACGUGAUUGGUGUGGGAUUUGUGUACUUGUGGUGUGUGGAUCUUUAUUGCAUCGGUUGUUGUUUGGAAACAUGUAACAAAGAUCAAAACUGCCCAUGGCAACAACUGAUAAUAAUACAACAAUUGAAGAUUUGUUCUACGCUGAGAAUCUACUUGACACAAGUUCCAUAUUUUUAGCAAACUUAAAUGAGAUCUCAAAUUGCCUUGUACAAUCAUUAUCCUCCCCGCAUAAGCACCCCAACUUACAACGUAUGAAGACAAUUGCUUCUGAAACAUGUUUAAACAUAGAAAUGGAAACUCCUCGGAAUCGCUGAAGACAACAGCCAGAAAAGAUUUCUAUACAAUCAAAUCCUACAAGGAGACAGUUGUAAAUCAAUAUAUUGACCAGCCAAACACAUUUUGCAAAUUCGACAAUGCCACUCAGAAUUUCACCAUACUUUAAGUUCAGAUGGAUGCAAGGAACCGUCGCACCCUUCUAGGCCAGAGGCUGUACAAAACUGCAAGGGUCCAUAAUGCAUCACAUGAUUCCAAUCUCUUCCAGCGCAGAGCACCUUGCCCCCCACCAGAUCCAUGAUCCUCCGCUGCCGCCUCUCAACCACCCCCGACGCCAAAACCAUCGUCACGCCUCCACAUUUUCUAUCCCGCCGCCUAGCCCUCAGCGAUGACAUAUUUCAGGAAGGAUUUGUUUUCAGGCAAAAGCUGCAUUGUCAAUAUUUUUCAGCAGCAGCAGUAGUACCAGAGUGUAAUCUCAAGUGCUUGAUAUCUCGAUACAUCACCAUUACUACUUUUCGCUACAAUCGCAAUGACCAGAUGAAAAACUCACAAAGAUUACGGAAGACAUAAGACAGAAGAAAAUGGCAUAAUCAUCCUGUAUUAGCCCAACUGUUCAAAAUUCAAGUACUAACAAGCCCCAAACAUAACUAAGUACAACAUGAACUUGGAAAAAAUCUCUCUAAUCAAAAGCAAACCCUCAGAAUAUACAUUGCAUCGAUUUGUUGAUUAUUAGCUGAGAAGCUUGAGUAUUUGGUUCAAGCUAUGUCACACAUCAUUUCACUCCACGCACAAAGAUACCAAGGCAGCUGCAGUUCUGUUCCAUUGGAUGCCUGCGUGUUAAGGCACGUUAUUGUUCCAUGAACUAUGGAAGCCACAGGCGCCUAUUAAUUUAAAGCCAUGUUAACUCACCUUAGAAUCCAUAUCAUUCAGUAAGAAACUGGGACUGCAUCCUCACUCAGUUGCCUGCACAUGAUAAUUAGUCGCAACUCAGGUGAGACAACAAACCCCUAGAGUAUCACAAUUCAUACACCACCACUUCUGCUUUCCAAGUUAAAUUACAGGAAAAUAUCCAGAAUUAUCACUUUGGGGUUAAUUUCUGUUGGAAACUAUUUUCAGUAAGGGUAUUAAAUAUAUGCAUAUGGUUUUUGAGUCGCGACUAGUCAAGUCGCCGCCAGCCCUGUGGCUCGGCGAUUAGUCGACCCAAGUCACUGUAUAGUCGCAAGUCGCCCUGAUUUCUAGAAAACGACUUGGCGGUUAGUCGGCGACUAUACAACGACUAAUCAGCGACUCAAAAACCAUGAAUAUAUGUGAUGCAAUUGUCGAUUGUCAAGGUUUGCCCCAAUUCUCUUUCUGUUCUUUUGUAGAUGCCGGUGAUGUAUUGAUUACCGUCAGUUCUUUGUAGACUGCAUUUAUGCAACAUAAUUUCAAAAUAACAUGUUAUAAUGCUAAAGGCAACAGACUCAAUGAACCAAGAAAAUAUGGGGCACAAAUAAGAAAUAUAUUUGAAAAACAAGUAGCAUAUAGAAUUAUAUGAACAAACCUUGUUCAGAGGGUUGUCUGGGGAUUUCUUCCAUAGCUUCCAUAUCAUGUCUUUGUACUGUUUCAGUGUUAGGCCUGGCUUUUCUUCCUUCAGCCUAGGGAGCUCUGCCUCUUCAAAUGCCUGUCAUAAAGAUAAUUCAAAUGUACUUAAGCAACAGAUCUCCGGUGAGCAUAAAAUUCCAACCAUAGCAUACCACAUGAAACUAAAUGACUCAUUAUGAGUAUAAUAAAUAGAAUCCAAUGUAGGCUUUGCAAAGUAAAAUGGCACAUAAGGCAGAACACUCUUGUAAGUGAAAUGAUUAAAAUUCAUCUACCAAUCAGAAGUUUGUGUUUGAACUUUGAACUAAGGUACCCGUAAAACUGUAAGACUAAAUGCAUUAGUACAUCAAAUAUUGUCUGUGAGGUUGGCAGUGUUAGUGGUAGGAUGUUGCCUCCCCAAUUAGCUAAUUGUCCCUGUGGAUGAAUUUCCCCUUAUGGUCUUCAGCUUAUGGGUUUUUAGCAUACAAUACAAGUAACAAACCAAUAACUACCAUACAAGAUACUACACUCAUUAUGUAGGAUAUCAAAUACCAACUCAUUUCAUCCUCUCUGGAGAGAUUAUACAACUUUGAUUGCUCACGUCUCUAAUCGUGUUCAUGGAACAUCCAACAAUUGCAAACAAGUACCAUAGGGCUCAUCUACGCAGUUAGUACCAGAAGAAGUCACUAUUGGGUAUUCUCACAAUUCACACCCAAACUAUAACUAUCACUGUUAGCAGACCUAAUGCGCAUGGAACAAUAAAAUCAUACCGUGGUUUGGUUGACCUACACUCCUUAGCACAGAUUUUUGUGUAUGUGUGUGAUUAUAAUGCAAUCAUCAAAUUUUCAAGCUUAUGCAGCAGUUCAGUAAGCAAAUCUGAACUUUGGCCAGACACUAAAAUAUGUACCUUGAAUGAUGCCUUGAGGCGGCGCUCAGGAUGCCUGUCAGCGGGCAAGGCCGCGUCUGUGUCAACAAGCGACAGCCGCACGAUGGCCUCGUCGACACCCGAGGCCUCGAUGACGGAGUCGUCCCUGUUGGUGUUGGCGACGAGGACGACGCGCUCGUACUCCUCCUCCUCGGCGGUGCGCGCGGCGCGCUUCUUGGCGGCCUCGGCCUCGCGCUCGAGGCGCAGGCGCUCCUCCUCGCGGCGGCGCACGAGCUCGGCCUCGGUGACCUUGGGGGCCGGGGCGCCGACGCGGUUGGCCUUGCGGACGUCUGUCUUGGAGACGGCGGAGGCGACGGCGGCGGCCUCGGCCUCGGCGAGGCGGCGGUUCUCGGCCUUGCGGGCGGCGGCCUCGGCGCGCUUCUCGGCCUCCUCCUCGCGGCGGCGCGCGGCGCGGGACUUGGAACCCUCGGCCUCGCGCCAGUACUCCUCCUCCUUGGCGCGCUCGGCGCGCUGGCGGCGGUCCGACUCCUCGGCGGAGCGGCGCUCGCGGGCGGCCUCCGCCUUGGAGUUGACGCCCAUCUUCUUCGGCAUCGCGGGCGGCGCUCGAGAUUUUGCGGUUCGAUCGGCGGCGCGGCGCGGCGUGGGGAAUUUGGGGGAAGCUGAUGGUCUGGAUUGGGAUUUCGGGAAGGUUUGGGUUGGCUGUCUAGGGCUCGGGUCUGGGGUCCUCUAUGCGCGAAUGGCUUAUUCUGUACGCGUGUUGCUUAGUUAUCGGGUUAUUUUUUGCAUUAGGGAACGCGUUCCAGAGUCUUCUAGAUGCACAGCUCGUAUGGACGCACAGGGUCGUUGAGGAUCAAAUAAGUUUUUUCUUAAAAAAAAUCAUUUGAACUUAUUAAAAUUUCAACAAUGUAUUACUGGCAUAUUUUCUAAAUUCCAAUAAUAACUUCUAGUGAUUUUUUUUUCAACAGAACUUUCAAUCUAUUCAUUUUUAAUCAUGGUAGUACAACAAACAUCAGAAAUGAUAAAAUUGCAUUCAUAUCCAUAGCUCACCUGGCGACGACUACAAGCACUGAAGCGAGCCGAAGGUGCGCCGCCAUCAUCGCCCUCCCUCGUCGGGGCCGGGCAAAACUUGUUGUAGUUCACAGUCGGGAAGUCGACGUGCUAAGGCUCUAUUGGACCAGCGCACCAGAACAGCAACCGCUGCCGUUGAAUAGUAGCGUACAUCAAAGGGAUUCAAUCUAAAGACACAUGAGCAUAGGCGAACUACGACCAGAUCUGAACGAAUCCACCAAGGGUAGUUCCGCCGAAGACACACCUCCACACGCCCACCAACAAUACUAGACGCCAGUGGCGGAGCUAGACAAGAUCUUAGGGGGGGCAAACACANNNNNNNNNNNNNNNNNNNNNNNNNNNNNNNNNNNNNNNNNNNNNNNNNNNNNNNNNNNNNNNNNNNNNNNNNNNNNNNNNNNNNNNNNNNNNNNNNNNNNNNNNNNNNNNNNNNNNNNNNNNNNNNNNNNNNNNNNNNNNNNNNNNNNNNNNNNNNNNNNNNNNNNNNNNNNNNNNNNNNNNNNNNNNNNNNNNNNNNNNNNNNNNNNNNNNNNNNNNNNNNNNNNNNNNNNNNNNNNNNNNNNNNNNNNNNNNNNNNNNNNNNNNNNNNNNNNNNNNNNNNNNNNNNNNNUGGGGGGGGGGGCAAAUGCUCUAAUUUUUCUAAUCUAAGCAGGCUCUUAAAAAAUUUCUUCAUAGCUUUUAGCAAUGUUGGGGGGGGCCACAGCCCCUGCAGGGCUCCACAUAGCUCCGCCACUGCUAGACGCACCAUCGAGACGGUGCUAGGCGGGGAGUAUCUUAUUCCAUCUUCAAGGAGCCGUCGUCGUCUCGUCUUCCUGAGCUCAAUACAAACUCCAACAAAACUCAAAGCAACAUCUAGAACGGAGCCCUCCUGCAGGCAAGGGCUGAGAUCCACGGCGCCGCUAAGGCCACCGGAGACGAGGUAGAUUGGCGGCGGCAACUUCUAGUAAAUCUUAUCCCUUGAUCUGGUGCCUAGAAAACAAAGGUCACCCCCCCUAAAAAAGGUCACCACUCACUAUCUCAUUGUGUCAUGUGAUUUGUUUUAAAUGAGUUCAGCCCAUUUUAUAUCCUUGUUGGGUCCAUUUGGUUGUUUUCUCUUGAUAAGUUGAUGACUAGAUAUAACCUUAGGAAAGGGCACAAAACUAAACCUUUUAAUUGUGGUUUUGUGGUGAGAUAAAUUUAUUAAUCACCUGAUGUUUCAUUGUGUUGUUGCCAGAGUUGCCUAGCAUGUUAUCAUUGAGCAUUUUGGUGUGAAAUUAGGCAACGAUUAUGAAUCAGUAGCUAGAUUUGGGAUUUCAGAUAGAAAUAAUUUUUGCUAUUGACAUUGUCCAUGCAUGGAAGUUUUAUGAGAUCCAUGAUAUUUAAUAAUGCCCUAUAAAUGUCCAUGAAGCAUGUGCGGUGGAGUAACUUGAAAAUUGUCAAGUUCUGGAUGAUCCUAUCAUUAGAGCGGGACCAGGAAACUAGAGGUCUUCUCUCAAUUCCUGACAAGUUUAUUGUAGAACCUUCUCUGAUCUGUUAUGUGUGAAGCCUCGGGAUUUUAGAACAGCCUCCUCUGGCACACUCUCUCUUAUCGGCCAACAUAUGGGACAAGUUGAAGAUUUUAACCCCAUGCAACCCUAGUUUAGCUCGUCAGACAAGAGCUCCGAGAAAGGAGAUAUUGCUCCUCCAUGAAAUCCAGGCAUGAGACUUGGGAUACAAUGACAGAUCCAAUGGGGUGCCGUGGGUGCCCUAGCACCGCCUCCGUACAUGCAAAACUUUUAUUACCGAUAAACUGGGAUUUUCUUUAGGGUCAUACAAGGCAUUUCUAUUGUGAGUGAUAAGUUUGGCACCCCUCGUGGUCAAGCUCUAGGUCCGCCGCUGCAGGGAUAGGACUGCACUUAGGAAGACCCUCGUACGCACAUAGCGAGGCACGAAACUAGCGAUCGAUCGAUUGAUUCGUUACUAUGUUAGUAUGUUAACAUAAAAAAACUGAUCGAUUCGUCCAAGUUAUUUUUGUUUUGUUUUGGUUGAUAUGGCGAUCACGUAUUUGAAAGACAGAUUUAAAGCACUCGCGGUGUUUAAAGAUAUAUUUGAAUUUUAUUUAGCUUGGGCACCUAGAAGUCAUUGAAUGUUAAUGAACUUGAAGCGUGUUGCACAAAAUUUGCAGAUAUUUUCCUAAUAUCUCCAUUGCUUAUCGCUUCUUAUUUACUAUAUGUGUGACUGUUCCACGGGCGGAAAAAAACUUUUCAAAGUUGGAAUUACUAAAGAACUAUCUUAGGUCAACAAGGACUCAAGAGAGGUUGAAUGGUCUGCCAGCAUUAUGCACCAAGAAGAAAUUAUUGGAUGAUACCGACAUUAAACUCAUCAUAAGUGACUUUGCAUCUAGGAAUAUUAUAAGAAAAUGUUAAGGUAAUAUGUAUAAAUUAUUUGAUAUGUAUAUUAUUUUAGAUGUUUUUAAGUGUUAUUAAUAAUAUAUUUCAUAUGUACACUGAUACGUCUCCCGCGUAUCUAUAAUUUUUUAUUGUUCCAUUCUAUUAUAUUAUCUAUUUUGAAGUUUUAUAUGCAUUAAUAUGUUAUUUUAUAUUAUUUUUGGGAUUAGCUUAUUAACCCAGAGCCCAGUGCCAGUUUCUGUUUCUUCCUUAUUUUUGAGUUUUACAGAAAAGGAAUAUCAAACGGAGUCCAAACGAAAUAAAAUUUUUGCGAAGAUUUUUCUUUGACCAGAAGACACAUGUAGGACUUGGAGAGGAAGACAGAAGAGUCCCGAGGGCUCCACAAGCCCUCGGGGCACGCCCUAGGGGGGCGCCCCUGGCUUGUGGGCCCCACGGGACUCCUGCAACCCUAAUCUUUGGCCUAUAAAUUUAGAAAUAUUCCUAAACGACCAGAAGCAUUCAUAAAAAUAUUUUUCCACCGCCGUAACCUUUUGUACUCGUGAGAUCCCAUCUAGGGACCUUUUCCGGCACCCUGUCAGAGGGGGAUUCGAUCACGGAGGGCUUCUACAUCAACUCUAUUGCCCCUCCGAUGAAGCAUGAGUACUUUACCACGGGUCCAUAGCUACUCUCUCUUUGAUCCUCAAUACCAUGUUCUCCUCGAUGUUCUUGGAGAUCUAUCUGAUGUAAUCUUCUUUUGCGGUGUGUUUGUCGAGAUCCGAUGAAUUAUGGAUUUAUGAUUAGUUUAUCUAUGAAUAUUAUUUGAAUCUUCUCUGAAUUCUUAUAUGCAUGAUUUUAUAUCUUUGUAUUUCUCUUUGAAUUAUCGGUUUGGUUUGACCAACUAGAUUGGUUUUUGUUGCAAUGAGAGAGGUGCUUAGUUUUGGGUUCAAUCUUGCGGUGUCCUCACCCAGUGACAAAGUAGGGGUAGCGAGGCAUGUAUCUGUAUUGUUGCCAUUAAGGAUAAAAAGAUGGGGUUUUCAUCGUAUUGCUUGAGUUUAUCCCUCUACAUCAUGUCAUCUUGCUUAAAGCGUUACUUCGUUCUUAUGAACUUAAUACUCUAGAUGUAUGCUGGAUAGCGGUUGAUGUGUGGACUAAUAUUAGUAGAUGCAGGCAGGAGCCGGUCUACUUGACACGGACGUGAUGCCUAUAUUCACAAUCCUUGCCUUGGAUAUCGUCAUAACUUUGCGCUUUUCUAUCAGUUGCUCGAUAGUAAUUUGUUCACCCAUCGUAUUAUUUUCCUUCAAUAGAGAAGCCUCUAGUGAAACAUAUGGCCCCGGGGUCUAUUUGCCAUCAUAUAUUUUUAGAUCUAUAAACCAAAAAACCCAAAAAUACAUCGCUGCAAUUUAUUUACUUUUAUUUUGUUUUAUGUUUUAGUAAUCUUUUAUAUCUAUCUAUACCAUAUCUCACAUUUGCAAGUGACCGUGAAGGGAUUGACAACCCUUUUAUCGCAUUGGGUGCAAGUGUUUGAUUGUUUGUGCAGGUGCAUAGAUUGGAGACUUGCUUAUAUCUUCUACUGGAUUGAUACCUUGGUUCUUAACUAAGUGAAAUACUUAUCUGUGCUUUGCUGCAUCACCCUUUCAUCUUUAAGGGAAAAACCAACGCAAACUCAAGAAGUAGCGUACACAAAUACAUUGUUAUUGUUAGAGGGCCUAAGUUUAGUCUCACCCCGGGCAAAAUCUCAAGACUGGCCUGGUUGAGUUAUAGGUACCAUGAGCAUAUACGGUGAUGUCGGUUAGAAAGCUUUGCGUCACUAUCCAUAGGUGUGCGCAAUAGUGGCACUACUUUUCAAAUUAAACUUUUGACUCUCACACUGUAAACACACACAUAUCCAAAUAACAGAAAGAGCACCACGCAAGGUGUAAGGUGUUAAUCCUCUAUGAUGGCCUGAUCCCAGAUAAGCAAAGCCUCCUCUCUUAAAUGAUCUGAAGUGUUUUGACCACUGGCCGAACAUCGAAAAGGGUUACUCUGAUCUUCGAUAUCUUCUCUUCCCCAUCGACACUUUGGUUCAAAGUAAUUUCAUAGGAUUCUUGGAAGGGUUUGGAUCCUUAUGGAAUUUUGCUAAAUGGAAUCAUUACGAAAAAUUCUGAAGGAAGUAUUUGCACUCUAUUUUGGAGAAACAUUUCCAUCCAACUAAACCUCUUGAUUUUUUUUCGAAAAGGGGGAAAUCCCUGGCCUCUGCAUCAGAGUGAUGCAUACGGCCUCUUGAUAAACUUCCUUUGUUUUUUCGGUGGUAUCAAGCACCCUUCCGAAUUCCCAUGGUUUCCUAGUAAUGUAGGAGUCAAGAGGACGUUUCUGCGUGGAAACAUUUCCCAUGGUUUCACAUUUAUCCUAUUCCCACAUUUCUAAAAUCCUAGUACUAAUCGAAGAGGACCGACACCCUAGAUGAUGUAAAUACUUUUAGAUAAUGAUGGGAUAAUGCUCCCAACAUUUGCAUUUAGAUGUUCUUUUAGAUAAUGAUUGUGAAUCAUGUCAUUCCCCUCCCAGCCAAAAAUAAAGAGAACUCUUCAUAUCUUUUUUUUUGGAUAAUGUUCAUAUGAUUUAGUUAGGCGUGAAUCUCUGCACUUUUCUUGAAUGCUUCAACUAUCUUUUGCCGUCACAAAAAAAAGAGUAUUCUUCACCGUGUGCACCACGAUGGUUCAUUGAAAUGUUCCGGUGGCAUGGGAGAAUAUCUUCAUGCCACAUGAACAUUGAUCCUUGAGUGUCAGAUAUAAAGGCAGAGGCAUAAAGAGCUCGACUGCAAUUCUCAACUAUCGAGCAGGGGACUGACGGAUAAAGUUACUCUAGGAACGAGCUGGGACAACGAUUUCAGAGCAAUGUACCGAUAUGCUCUCAUUCUUUUUGUUAUGUUGAGUCAUAAGCACCAUUAGCAUACAUGGUAAUCCCGUCAGAUGCCUGUUAUUGACACAGUGCUUUCUUGGCGAACACCCGAAAGCUUUGCGUCGCUAUCCAUAGGUGUGCACAAAUAGCUGCCUGCAGUUACAAUUGCCCGUAUACCUUGCCAAUCACCCAGGCUUCGACCGAGAGCAGGAGAUGGAACUCAAUCGAUCCAAGAGACCCCCAUCGUCUUGGCCGCGAACGCGUAACGAUCCGCAGCCUCGUCGAUCUGCCAAUCCAAAUGCAGCAGACAGCCAGCAAUAUUUCAGUCACAGUGACAAGAUCAAGGCGAGAGAAAAGAGAGAAGAACAUCGGUCGUACGAUUUUCUGCGUGGAGCGGCCGCAGCCGUGGCCGCUCUUGCGGUCGAUCCGGGCGACGAUGGGGUUGGUCUGCGGGCUCUGCUCCACGCUCGUGCACAGGACGUGCUGCAUCGUCUGAGGAACAAAAUCGUGAGUUCGACCGUGCUCUGAUCUCCAAGGCAGAGUCUGCUUUGGAUCGAUCUUCAAGCGAAAUAUCAAUCGGAAGCGUGCGUGCGUGUGUGCGUACCGCGAGGAACUUGAGGGUGUGCGACGGCACGACGCGGUCGUCGUGGUCCGCCGUCAGCAGCAUGGUGGGAGGGUACUGCUGGCGGCGGUGCUGGUCGCCGCCGGCGCCCUUCUCCCACGGCCGCCUCACGUUGUGCAGCGGGGAGUACUUGAUAAGCCAGCGGAAUUCCUCCUCCUUCUCCGAGCAGCCGAAAUCACAAGCCCAUGCACGACCUGGAUGCAUGGCAGACAUUCACAAGGUGACCACUUGGACACAAACAGGAUGCGGUUUUCAGAGGAGAGGCGACAAGCAAAACCUAUGGUGAACUUGUGGAACCGAAGCAUGUCCAUGACACCCACGUGAGCCAGAGCACAGCCGAAGAGACCAGGCCGCUGCAAUCACGAACAAUGAAACAACCUCCGCUCACUUUUGGAACAAAUGAUAUGAGCUGCAACAAAUUGGAACAAAAUUAUAAAGACUUAGCCAGCAUUACCUGGUUGAUGCAGGCGGCCACCAGGAGGCCGCCGUUGCUCCCGCCUUCGAUGCACAGCCGGCUCGGGCUCGUGUACCCGGCGGACACGAGGAACUCGCCGGCGGCGAUGAAGUCGUCGAAGCAGUUCUGCUUGUUCGCGAGCGAGCCGGCCUUGUGCCACUCCUCCCCGUACUCGCCGCCGCCCCGGAUGUUGGCGACGCACGUCACGAACCCCAGGUUCCUCAUGAGGACGACGCGGGCGGCGCUGAACUGCGGCGUCAUGCUCAUGCCGAACCCGCCGUAGCCGAAGAGCAGGGCCGGGUGCGACCCGUCGAGGUCGAUGUUCUUCCUCGACACGACGAACAUCGGGAUCUUGGUCCCGUCCUUGCUUGGGUAAAACACCUGAAAAAGAGAAACCAACCAAGCAAGAUCAACCGAACUGCAGAUACACCACACACGGUUCAGGUAUAUAUAUUUGUUCAUCUUCAGACAAGAGAAUGUAGUACCUGCUUCGCUUCGAAGUCCGUGCGGUCGAAGCCAGGGACGGUGAUCUCUCUGUAUAUGCUCAUCUCAGGAACCCCGGAGCUCAGAUCACACCGGUAGACGAUCCCCGGCGUGAGGAAGCUCGAGAACUCGACGAACACCUCGGAAUCGCAACGCCUGCCGGUGAUCCCGUUGACGCUGCCUAUGUCGAUGGGUAUGCCGUGGAGCAGCUCUCCGGCGGCCAGGCUCCUCAUCUGCAGCACGUACUUGACAUCUGACAGGUAGUUCACCAGAAGCUUGUCACCGUGGACAGCACAAGCGUAUUCUAGGACAGCCUUGCCAUCUUCAGGUAGAACAUCGGUCCAGGACUGCGGGUCGUCGACGUCGACCCGCGACAGUUUGUACCUCGGAGCGUCUUUGUUUGUGAGGACUGUGAAUCGGGUGCCGUCGUUGGCGACGACUCCGUAGAAGGCCUCGAAUUCGUCCACGAGCUUCACGAAGGGGAGCAUUUCGUGGGUUCCUUUCGUGCCUGAAAGCCCAUGGGAAAGAGCUGAGAGGUCGCAGUAGUACAGCUUGUUGACCGGCUCUGAACUCUCUGAAACUGACAGAAGCACGUACUGCAACAAAAGCAGUAAAACAUACUGCAUCAGCUACCGAAGUGUCAACAAGAUGGGCAAAGAACAUGGUGGCUAAUGUACCUUGCCGUCCUCUGUAACCUCAGGGGUGUAUAUGUACUUGGGAUGCUCGGGGUCUCUCCAGCACAUGACGUCGUCGGACUGUUCAGUUCCGAGGAAAUGGUAGUAGACCUCGUGGUUGAGGUUAACGUCGGUCCUGAUCCCGGACUCCGGCGCGCCAUCGUCGUCCCUGCGCGCCAGAACCAGAGCAAGGCAUGAGACAAGAUGAUACCCAUGGAUUUUACUACUGUAUCAAGCAAAGCACAGAGCACUCAUGCUAUGAAGUGUCACUUACUUUGGAGCUGGGAAGCGCGAGUAGAAGAAGCCCUUGCCGUCGCUGGUCCAGGCGAUGCGCGAGAACUUGACCCAGGACAGGGCGUCGGGGAGGCGGUGCCUGUCGCGGACGCGCAUGACGCUGAUGGUGACCCAGUCGCUGCCGCUGGCGCUGGUGCCGUAGGCCAGGUGCUCGCCGUCGUCGCUGACGCCGAUCAUGGAGAGCGACACCGUGGCGUCGUCGCUGAGCUCGCCCGGGUCCAGCAGCACGCUCGGCUCGCCGCCCAGCCCGUGCUGCACAGACGAUUAAUUCGGAGAUGAUCAGUACUGUGGAGUCGUUGCCUCUGAACUGAAGAAAAAGGUGGAUGCAGCGGUGUGAUGCGGACCUGGACGUAGAGGGCGCUGUGGGGGAGGAGGCCGGGGUUGUGGAAGUAGAAGUAGGUGCCGGCGCGCUUGAAGGGGGCGCGGUAGCGCGGGUGGUCGAGCAGCGCCGUGAGCUGCCCGCGCAGGCGGCCGCGGUGGUCGCAGGUGGCGAGCACGGCGUCGGCCACGGCCGCCUGCGCGCCCACGUACUCCUUCACCUCCUCGGACUCCAGCUCCUCCAUCCUGACGAGCCCAUACGUUACCCACGGCACGAAACAACAACGUGACAACCAGCGCCAGAGGCAAAGAGGUUCGAAGGUGUACAGUAAAACUGUAAAAAGCGCGAGCUUCGGUACGCUUCUGCAGAAGGUUCAGAGAAGCAUGUGGGUGGCGUACAGUCUACAGCUUGCCGCGGUGAAAUGAAUGGAGCAGUGAUCCCCCUCUCCUCUGGCGUGGUGAAAUAUUUAGCAGCAAGUGUUGUGUCAUUACUGCAGUCUCCAAGGAGGUUGCAUCUUUUGCUGCAUAGGGGCGCAUGAGCGCCACGAGCGGUGUGCUAGAGAUUGAUGCCACCACGGUGAGAUGAAUGGACCAAUGAUUCUCCUGCGCCGUCGUGCGAGUGUUUUGGCUGUAGGAGUAUAGUAAAAAGAACCGUGCCGUGUGUGCUAAAAUGAUAGAAGUACAUCCAAGUGACUGUUCCUUGUCCUAAACCCGUAUGCUUGAUGGAAAAAUGAAACUGUACCUUCCUAGUAAAAUGAACUGCAUGUCCUGUGUAUGCGUACAAAUGCCAUCUAAACCGUACUGCCUUUUUUUAAGGAAAAAUAAAAAUAAAACCGUGCUCCAGUAAUGUUUUCCUAACUAAACUGUUUUCCUUUGUUCUUUCACCAAUAAUAUUUGGCAGCAGCAACAUAGCACGCGCAUGAAUCAAUGAUCUACCCGCAAAAAAAAGAGAGUAUGAACCAAGGAUUGAACACCAUGGCCUUCGCGAAAACAAAAACAAAAGCCAGAUUUCAUGGUAUGGCCGGAUGGAUAAAAAAAAUGAGACCAGCCAAGGGCUAACCAACGGGUGGACGUCCCGUCCUCGGCCGGAUGGAUACGUUAGCUGAAAACGCAAACAAAAAUCACUCUGCUUCUCUCGGGUCGUAUGUAUCAAGCUGGUUAAAGUUAAUAGGUGCGCAGGCGGAAGAAACUCUCUCGCCGUCUCGCAAGUGUGCUUUUGAGCUCGAAGAGAAACGGCGAAAAGCAGACCACGGAAACGGGCGAAUACCACGAGCAGAUUCAGAUCGCUCACCAUCUGUAGGGGUCCGGCACAAGAACGCCAUGGUAGUCGUCGACAAUGUCGCCGUCGCGGCGGGCCGGGGGGUACCGGAGAGGAGGCAGCGGCUCGUCGGCGGCGGCGAGGGAGCCCAUGGCGAUUAAUAGGUGGCGAAGCAAUACGCAACGCCCGCCGCAGGUGUGUGCGUAGUUGGUAGUGUAUUGAAUGAGACUGAAUGAAUGGCCUCCCGAGCGAGCGGAAGCACAAAGAAGUCGCACGAUGACAACACAUCACGAUACCAACCCGUGGUAUAAAUAGAAAUAGAUGGCGAGGGAGUGUGCGCGCGCUGUGUGCAGGAUGUGAUAAUAACGUGGCGAGCAUUAUUCGUGCUCCACAACCAAAAAAGGUUGUUCGGCGGCCACCGGCUGCAUUUGAAUACUGAGAAAUGAAACCUAGGACGUAUGAAUUCAUGAACCAAGUUUCCUGGCGAGCAGAUGAUGACACCUUUGCCCCGCACUUUGUACGCAGGAAUGGGAACGGCUUUGCCCUUUGUGUUACAUAAAUAAAUAAAUGGGAUGGGACAUGGAAAAGAAACAUAAAAGGGAUAUUGUGGUGGGAGCAGAGAGGGCUGAAAGAGACGGCGGAGCUGGCUGGAUGUCGCCAUGGAGAUGUAAGAGUGUUGCCAUGCAUCAGGACGCGUCGCUGUCGGCCUGCCACGUGCGGGGCACGGCUCUGACCAAUCGGCUCGAUCUUCUGCGCGGGCUGCUGGCUUUGUCUCCGCUGCUUCGGGCUGCGUAGUCUAGCCCGGCCUUGAUUUCGGGACCGGUUCUUAAACACCGGAGUCUAGCCACGUUCGACCGAGGGAUGAAUCUGGAUGGAUUUGGAUGGUAGGAUGAACUUGUAAAGUUCUUCCGGUGAAACCUACGUUUAUGGGCGUGUUUGGUUGUCUACAAAUGGCCCAGCCUAGCCCGCGUGGGAAAGAUUGAGCCCAUUUAAUUGCCUGCGUUUACUGUGUGACCCGCAUGACAUGAAACUUGAAGCACCUCCAGGCCAGGCCUAGGGGAAACGCCUGAAUCGGUAGUAGCUCGCGAGCCUGACUCGGGCGACGCAGGGGAGGGCAACGCGCUUCUCUCCUCGUGCGACCAGGGAGAUGGCGCGAGCUCGCCUGCGUCGCCGAAAAAACGGCGGGAGGAUUUCGGCUCACCUCCCGCCGAGUCCGCCCCUAUUUAGCCCCCUCCCUCACCGCCCCAACUCCCGCCACCAUUCUUUCCCCUUUCGAGCUUUCCCGCUGACGCGCAUCGGCACCAACGAGCAGGUAAGCGGCGCAUCUUCAUCGGUCGGCGGUCCACGGCGUCGGCGGUCCUUCACCGGCCGGCGGUGAUCUUCUAGGACCGUUCCCCCCUCGUCCUCGAGCUGCAGCCAUGGCCUUUGUGAGUUCAACCCCCCCUUUCUCUCCGUUCCUUCUAGCUAGAUCUGAGCUGUAGCUAGGGUUUGAUGUAGAUGCAUGGUUGAUUAGUCCUCUGAUCUGUGAGCUCACAUGAUUGAUUGCUGUGCUGCAGUUGCAAUUUAUGGUAGGGUUAUAUGUUCAAGCAUGUGGUAGGCUAGAUUAGUAGUAGAGUUUGAAGUUAAACCUUGUGCUUGUGUUGAUUCGUGCUUAGAUAUGUGAUUUGUACUUAUUGGUGGUCCAUUUGUAGCAUGUGGUUUGUUGUAGAUGUAUAUUCUUGCUCAUAGAUUGUCCGGUAUGCUUAGUAUGAUAUCAAUGAACCAUGUGCUUAGUAUGAUAGUGAUGAAGCAUGUGCUUGGUAUGAUAGUGAUGAAGCAUGUGCUUGGUAUGAUAGUGAUGAACCAUGUACAUGUAUUCUCCUGCUUUCACAGAUUGUCCGGUAUGUUGUGUGCUAUGCUUACUGUCAAUGCGUGCUACGAUUGUAGGACAUGACCACGCAGACGCAAGAUCUUAGUCAUGCCCUUGUCCUGUCCGACAGCCAGUUUGCUCCAUCGUUUGUCGAGGACUCGCAGCCUAGCUAUGUCCGAGAUGGCACCUAAUUCAGAGGUGUUCACGUUUGAUUCUGUCUAUGUGCCAGUAGUGCUCGUUGAGCAAACUCCUGCUGCUGCCGCUGCACUCAAGGUAGCAACAGCAAAGGCAAAGAAGGAUGGUAGGUCGAACAAUAUGAAGUGGCAGCUGUUCAUGUCCACGUUCGUGCUGAACAAGAUGAGUGAGCUCAUCUCUAGUGGAGUUAGGACUGACAAGGGCUUCAAGGAGGUGCACUUGAACACCGUUGCGAAGCAGGUGUUCGAUUCUGUGGGCAGGAGGUGUCCGCCACCCAGGUGUACAACCACCUGAGGAAGUGGAGAGGUCGAUGGAUCCAAGUGUCCAAGCUGAGAGACCUUAGCGGUGCCUCAUGGGAUGAGAACACUUGCAACAUAGUUCUGGAGGCAGAGCACUACACCGGCCAUGUCAUGAUUAGCUCACAGCCCUCUUCCUUUUCAUACUGUCCACUAAUACGUCUCCAACGUAUCUAUAAUUUUUGAUUGUUCCAUGCUGUUAUAUUAUCAUUCUUGGAUAUUUUACAAUCAUUUUAUAUCUUUUUUGGUAUUAACCUAUUGACAUAGUGCCCAUUGCCAGUUGAUGUUUUCUGCUUGUUUUUUACAUCGCAAGAAAUCAAUAUCAAACGGAGUCCAAAUGCAACGAAACUUUUUGUGGAAUUUUUAUGGAUCAGAAGACACCCAAUCGGCCGGAGAAGCACCUGGGGGUGCCCCAAGGGGGGCACAACCCACCAGGGCGCGCCUGGGCCCCCAGACGCGCCCAGGUGGGUUGUGCCCACCUCGGUGGCCUCCCGCACCGCCUCUUUGCUAUAUAAAUACCCCAAUAUUCCGGAAACCCUAGGGGAGUCGACGAAAAUCAAUUCUAGCCACCACAAGUUCCAGAACCACCAGAUCCAAUCUAGACACCAUCACGGAGGGGUUCAUCAUCCUCACUGGUGCCUCUCCGAUGAUGCAUGAGUAGUUCAUUGUAGACCUACGGGUCCGUAGUUAGUAGCUAGAUGGCUUCCUCUCUCUCUUUUGAUUCUCAAUACAAUGGUCUCUUGGAUAUCCAUAUGAUGUAACUCUUUUUGCGGUGUGUUUGUUGGGAUCCGAUGAACUUUGAGUUUAUGAUCAGAUCUAUGUUUUUAUCCAUGAAGGUUAUUUGAGUCUUCUUUGAUCUCUUAUAUGCAUGAUUACUUAUAGCCUCGUAUUUCUUCUCCGAUAUUUGGGUUUUGUUUGGCCAACUUGAUCUAUUUAUCUUGCAAUGGGAAGAGGUGCUUUGUGAUGGUUUGAUCUUACGGUGCUUGAUCCCAGUGACAGAAGGGAAUCAACACGUAUGUAUCGUUGCUAUUAAGGAUAACAAGAUGGGCUCUAUUUCUACAUAAAUAGAUCUUGUCUACAUCAUGUCAUCGUUCUUAUUGCAUUACUCCGCUUCUCCAUGAACUUAAUACACUAGAUGCAUGCUGGAUAGCGGUCGAUGUGUGGAGUAAUAGUAGUAGAUGCAGGCAGGAGUCGGUCUACUAAUCUUGGACGUGAUGCCUAUAUAAUGAUCAUUUCUUGGAUAUCGUCAUGAUUAUUUGAAGUUCUAUCAAUUGCCCAACAGUAAUUUUUUUACCCGCCGUUUGCUAUUUUUCUCGAGAGAAACCAGUAGUGAAAUCUAUGGCCCCCGGGUCUCUUCUUUAUUAUAUUUGCCUUCACGAUCUAUUUUUAUUUGCUUUUAUUUUUAGAUCUAUUAAUCUAAAAAUACAAAAAUACCUUGCUGCAAUUUAUUGUUAUUUAUUUUAUCUCGCAUUCCCGUGAGAUCUAUUUAUCCAAUCUACUACAAUUUUAUCUAUCUUUUUACCCGUGAGGGAUUGACAACCCCUCUCUUACGUCGGGUUGCAAGUAUUUGUUCUUUGUGUGCAGGAGCUGUUUACGUGGUGUUGUGUGGUUCUCCUACUGGUUCGAUAACCUUGGUCUCAUCACUGAGGGAAAUAUCUACCGUUGCUGUGUUGCAUCAUCCCUUCCUCUUUGGGAAAAUACCGACGUAGUUCAAGCAAACAUCAAAUGGAAUUUCUGGCGCCGUUGCCGGGGAGACAUCAUCAACAUCUACCAGGUUCCUAAUCACAAAUCUCAUCUCCUUGCAAUUUACAUUAUUUGCCAUUUUCCUCUCGUUUUCCUCUCCCCCACUUCACAAAAAUUUGCCAUUUUAUUCGCCCUCUUUUUCGUUCGCCGUUUUCUCGUCAGAUCUGUUUUUCUGUGCAAUCUUGUUUGCCACUUUUGUCGUUAUGGAUAGUUCUUCCGCUAUUUUGUGCACUCCCGAGAACGAGGUUCUUAAUUUUAAACAAAGGGGAGGGGAGAAUUUAAAAGAUGCUUGGUAUAGGUUUUGCAAUGCUCAUAAUAGAUCUAUCUGUAAGCAAUCUAUCGUUGUUCUUCUGCUUUAUUUUUAUGUGGGCAUCACCACUUGGUAUAGAUUCAUCCUUGAUACGAUUAUCAGUGGAAAUUUCUUGAUGUGUCCCUCUCUUGAUGCUUUUAAUGCUAUGGGAAAUUUAGUGGGUUCACCACCACUUAUGAUUAAUGAAACAACUUUGACUCUCAAGCAUGUUAUGGAGAGACUAGAUGCUAUUGAAAAGAAAAUGCUUACCGAGGAACAUAUUGAAAACUUGGAUAAAAAGAUGCAUAAUUUUGCUACCAAAAUUGGUAAGCGGGAGAAGUUUUUACGUUAUUAAAAUAAAGGGGACCGUAAUGCAUGAAAGAAUUGUAGAAAGCCCCUCUCGGAUCGAUGAAUUGGAAGAAAUCUUUAGUAAUCUAAGCACGGCUUUUGCUUCUGCUAAAACCAUUGAAAAAACUCCCGUAAAGAUCGGCAAGAUUACUCAAGUUACUAAGAACAAGGGUGCAACUUCUAGUAACAAUAGUAAAGAAGAUCUUAAGAUGAUUAGUAUUCACCCGGAUUUUGUUGAAGUUAUAAGAGAUCCUUUGUGCAAGAAUGAAUUCCUUAAACUUGCUCCUAGGAGUAUUGUCAUUGAAAAUCUGUAUGCAAAUCCUUGAAGAAUUUGAAGUGUUUGAUUGAAGAGUUGGAAACUAAAGAUGACAACACUUAGAUCCUUUGUGUUAUGCCUAGCUAGGGGCAUAAAACGAUAGUGCUUGUUGGGAGGCAACCCAAUGAAUAAAAUUUAUUUUUGUCUUUUUCUUUCUGUUCUUGAGUGUUUGCACAAUUAUGCUACUGUUAUGAUUGUGUUUUUGUGUUUUAAUUAGUGUUUGUGCCAAGCAAAGCCUUUGGGAUCAUGUUGGGUGAUAGUUGAUUUGAUCUUGCUGGAAAACAGAAACUUUUGCACUCACGAAAAUAAUUCUCAUUUUUAAAGAAGCGUGAUAAAAUACCAAUUAUUUUUGCAGAAGAUUAAUAUACAAAUUUCUCACGUGCUCCUAAUUUUUUCAGAAUUUUUGGAGUUACAGAAGAAUUCGAAAUAUCCAGAUUGCUACAGACUGCUCUGUUUUUGACAGAUUCUGUUUCCUUUGCGUUGUGUGCUUGUUUUGAUGAUUGUAUGGUUUUCUUUGAAGAGUUUUUUCCAUAGAAAAGUUGUAAUACAGUACAUAUAAUGCAAUAAUAAAAUAUGAAUGAGUUUGCAACAGUACUUAUAGUAGUGAUUUGCUUUCUUAUACUAACGGAUCUCACGAAGGUUUUGUUGAGUUUUGUGUGAUUGAAGUUUUCAAGUUUUGGUUGAUAUUACGAUGGAUGAAGGAAUAAGGAGUAAGAAGAGCCUAAGCUUGGGGAUACCCAUGGCAUCCCAAGCUAUUAUCCAAAGAGAAGCAAGCAACUAAGCUUGGGGAUGCCCGAGCGGCAUCCCCUCUUUCUUCUAACGACCAUCGGUAUUUUACUUGGAAUUAUAUUUUUAUGCGUCACAUAUUAUGAGUUUUGCUUGGAGCGUCUUGUAUGAUAUGAGUCUUUGAUUUUUUUGCUUUUUAUUUUGAGUCAUGAAUCCUUGCUGGACAAACCUAUUUGAGAGAGCCAAAAUUAUGCCAGGACUUGUUAGAAUUGCUCUCUAUGCUUCACUUAAAUCUUUAUGAGCUAUGGAAUUGCUCUAGUGCUUCACUUAUAUCUUUUUGAGCACGAUGUGCUUUGUUAUUUUUGAAGAAACGCUCUCAUGCUUAACUUAGAUUUAUUUGAGAGUUAGUAAAAAAUUUAAGAAUUUCUCUCUUUCUUCACUUAAAUUAUUUUGAGAGAAAGAAAUAUGAUGCUCAUGAUCUUCACUUAUAUUUGUUUGAGCUUAUUAAAAGCAACAUAUGAAAUCUAGUCCCAAAGUGAUAGAUAUACAAGGAAGAUAUAAUAAAAACUUUCAUGAAGAUCAUUGGAAAAAAUAAACUUGAUUCUUUGUAAUAGUUUUGAGAUAUGUUGACAUGAUAUGUGAGUCAUGUUGAUGAGUAAUUGUGCUUCAGUAAGAAUAUUGGUGUUAAGGUUUGUGAUUCCCUAUGCAAGCACGAAAGUCAAUAGUUAUGCAAUGAAAUUACAUCCUACUUGUGGUGCAUUAUUCGGUGUUAGUUAUGCUUAAUGCUCGCUUAUGAGAUUUUUCGUUUCUUGGUUGGUCGCUUCUCAAUCUUUUGCUAGCCUUCAUUUGAACUAAGUAUGAUCACUACUUGUGCAUCCAAAAUCCUUUAAACCAGUUUUGCCACAUGAGUCCACCAUACCUACCUAUAUGCUGUAUUCUUUUGCCGUUCUAAGCAAAUUUGUAUGUGCCAUCUCUAAUUUUCAAAAUAAACUUAUCUUUUGUGUGCUCGUACCGCUCAUGAAACAGUAGGGGGUGACUAAUAUAUUUCCAUGCUAGAUGUGUUAUUCUCAAGAUGAGUGUUUAUUCACUUGUCAUUGCAUGAGAGUACGGCAAAGGUAUUAGGGAUGCCCAGUCCCGAAAUGAAAAAUGAAUUUACUUUAUGUUGUCAAAUAAUAAAUUCAUUGGAAAAUGUUGGUAUGGAAGGCACCCGUGGAUACAGCUAGCCAUGGAAAGUAAAAGUAUGGUUGAAAAAGGAGUAAACUUUAUUUUCUGUUUGGGAACUGCCUAUGAUAUAUCUAGCAUGGAAAGUAUUGGGAACUACUCGGCCGUUUUCGUUGACAGGAAAAGCAUGCCUCCCAAAAUGUUUUUAUCUAUCUUUUUUGAUUUGAGCUUUGGCACCUCUACAAAUCCCUACUUCCCUCUGUGAAGGGCCUUUCUUUUACUUUAUGCACUUUUUAUUUUUACUUGAGUCUCCAUCUUCUCUUAUAAAGCACCAACUAAGGGGCACUAUGAUCGUACUUGAGCAUUGGGUGUAGCUAAUAUGCGAGCGUGUUUCAUGAAUGGAUCAAUGAUUGAGCAUAUUGGGCUAGGGAUAACUUACUUUAGUGUUGAUAUUUUGAAAGACAUGGUUGCUUGUUGAUAUGCUUGAGUACUAAAGUCCUCAUGUCAAAACUAGACUAUUGCUUUGAACCAUAUAAAAGUCCAAAUGUCCAUGCUACAAAGAAAAUGAUAUGUGAUGAACAUGUUAGGCAGCAUUCCACAUCAAAAAUUCUGUUUUUAUCAUUUACCUACUUGAGGACGAGCAGGAAAUAAGCUUGGGGAUGCUGAUACGUCUCCAACGUAUCUAUAAUUUUUGAUUGGUCCAUGCUGUUAUAUUAUCAUUCUUGGAUGUUUUACAAUCAUUUUAUAAUCGUUUUAUAUCAUUUUUUGGUACUAACCUAUUGACAUUGUCCCAGUGCCAGUUGCUAUUUUCUGCUUGUUUUUUACAUCGCAGGAAAUCAAUAUCAAACGGAGUCCAAAUGCAACGAAACUUUUUGUGGAAUUUUUAUGGACCAGAAGACACCCAAUGGGCCGGAGAAACACCUAGGGGGGGGGGGUGCCCCGAGGGUGGCGCAACCCACCAGGGCGUGCCUGGGUCCCCAAGCGCGCCCAGGUGGUUGUGCCCACCUUGGUGGCCUCCCGCACCGCCUCUUUGCUCUAUAAAUACCCCAAUAUUCCAGAAACCCUAGGGGAGUCGACAAAAAUCAAUUCCAGCCGCCGCAAGUUCUAGAACCACCAGAUCCAAUCUAGAAACCAUCACGCAGGGGUUCAUCAUCCUAAUUGGUGCCUCUCAGAUGAUGUGUGAGUAGUUCAUUGUAGACCUACGGGUCCGUAGUUAGUAGCUAGAUGGCUUCCUCUCUCUCUUUUGAUUCUCAAUACAAUGGUCUCUUGGAGAUCCAUAUGAUGUAACUCUUUUUGCGGUGUGUUUGUUGGGAUCCGAUGAACUUUGAGUUUAUGAUCAGAUCUAUGUUUUUAUCCAUGAAAGUUAUUUGAGUCUUAUUUGAUCUCUUAUAUGCAUGAUUACUUAUAGCCUCGUAUUUCUUCUCUGAUAUUUGGGUUUUGUUUGGCCAACUUGAUCUAUUUAUCUUGCAAUGGGAAGAUGUGCUUUGUGAUGGGUUCGGUCUUAUGAUGCUUGAUCCCAGUGAUAGAAGGGGAACCGACACGUAUGUAUUGUUCCUAUUAAGGAUAACAAGAUGGGGUCUAUUUCUACAUAAAUAGAUCUUGUCUACAUCAUGUCAUCGUUCUUAUUGCAUUACUCCGUUUCUCCAUGAACUUAAUACACUAGAUGCAUGCUGGAUAGCGAUCGAUGUGUGGAGUAAUAGUAGUAGAUGCAGGCAGGAGUCGGUCUACUAAUCUUGGGACGUGAUGCCUAUAUAAUGAUCAUUGCCUGGAUCGUCAUGAUUAUUUGAAGUUCUAUCAAUUGACCAACAGUAAUUUGUUUACCCGCCAUUUGCUAUUUUUUCUCGGGAGAAGCCACUAGUGAAAUCUACGACCCCCCGAGUCUCUUCUUUAUUAUAUUUGCCCUCGCGAUCUAUUUUUAUUUGCUUUUAUUUUCAGAUCUAUUAAUCCAAAAAUACAAAAAUACCUUGCUGCAAUUUAUUGUUAUUUAUUUUAUCUCGCGUUCCCGCGAGAUCUAUUUAUCCAAUCUACUACAAUUUUAUCUAUCUUUUUACCCGUGAGGGAUUGACAACCUCUCUCUUACGUUGGGUUGCAAGUAUUUGUUCUUCGUGUGCAGGAGAUGUUUACGUGGUGUUGCAUGGUUCUCCUACUGGUUUGAUAACCUUGGUCUCAUCGCUGAGGGAAAUAUCUAGCGUUGCUGUGCUGCAUCAUCCCUUCCUCUUUGGGGAAAUACCGACGUAGUUCAAGCAAAUAUCAUCCACCAUUGCCUACUCCUAAUUGCAACUAACAACACUUGUGUUUCAUUCUUAGGACCACCCAAGGGACGUUGAGUUCCUCAACACACCCAUAUAGAACUACAACUAGAUGCAACACAUCUUCUCCUACGGGCUGGCAACUGGGAAGCAUGCCAUGGGCUCGGGGGAGCCUCUUGGUUCUCCCAUGCCAGAUUUCCCUGGGACCCCGGACAUCGAGGUCCUUGAUGGCCCUGACAAGCCCUUCGACAAGCCCUUUGACCCCAUCCAUGAUAGGAAGAGGAAGAGAGGAGGCCUGAUGGAGGAGGAGAUCAAUGUCUUUUGCAGCUUGACUGAGGCGGUGAAGGAGGUGGCAACAACCAUCAGGGAGUGCAAGCCCCUUGACGUCCACCCUGACCUGUAUGGCGCUGUCAUGACCCAGGGUGGCUUCAGCAACGAGGCUCUCAUGGUAGCUCUCAGCCACUUGCUUGACAACAAGGCCCAGGGUGUUGGGUUCGUUGCCAUGGCAGACGCUCACAUGGUGCUGUGGCUCAGGAGUUGGCUGGGCAAGCACUACUACUAAAGUAGUGCUUCCUGUGAGCGUGCAUGAUCCCCGACGGCGAUGGCAGCGGCGACGAUGACAAUGAAGACGUACAUUUUGUGUAGCUAGGGCUGGAAAACUAUUUGAUGGUCUGUAUAUUUUGGUGAGAUGGUAUAUACUAACCCCUCAUGAUGAUGGUGAACUUGCGGUGGUAGGACGACACCCUCUUUUGGAUGUGGUGGUAGGGUAACACCAUGGUAGUGCUAGGUAGAACUUGCUAUGCCGUAUGGUCAUGCAUGCUUUACUUCUUCUCUUCUGCUCCAUUGUUGUUUGUGUACUACUUUGCUUGCUACUUGUGUGCUCCAUUGAUUUCCUGCUUCAACUAUUGCUCUUGUGCAUUGCUAGGGCAAGUGGUAUGCCGUGUUCAUUGGUAAGGCCCCAGGGGUUUACAGUUCAUGGGUCAGUGCACAAGUGGCAUCGUAUAGCCAUAGCAGCCAUAGAGGGUUCAAGACUAGGCAGGCGGCAAAAGAAGCUUACUCCAACUGGGUGCGAAAGCAUGGAAGUAGCAGUGUUGAUAGUGGCAAGGUUGGAGGUGUCAAAGUGGAAGGUGCAAAGGUGGAUCGUCAGUUUGGGCUAAAGCUAAAGAACUUCAUCAUCUUCGCCCAGUUCAUCGCCAUUGCUGUGCUGUGGCGUUGGUGUUCUAGGUGUGAUCAUUGUGGGUAAGCUCACCAACUAGGGUACAAGGUAAGCACACCAUGUACACCAUAUGCAACCAAACACCGUGUUCAUGUGCCGCUUGGGCCAAUGCAAGCAAGCAAACAAAGUGCACUUGCGUAUUACCUAAUGCAGGGACCCUAGAUGCAGGCAACCAAACAACUUGCAGAUUCCACAUUUGGGGCUGUUUUUGCUCAACCAGGCUGGGUUGAGAUGUGUAUGCAAUGCAGCUACUGUUCAGAACUUGAACCAAACACACCCUAUAUGUAUGUCAGGGCAUCUCCAACGAACGUGCCUCAAAUCAAAUCACACACACCAAACCUCCCACCGACGCAUUGCAUACAGGAGCCGGUCAUCCAAUUGAUUGGACUGAAUAAAAGCAGACAUGGCAUUUUUAUUAAUACAAGAAUUUCUUUCACAACAAAAGUUAGCAUAGUUUAAAUCUUCUCGGGCCGUGGGCACGUCGGUGGCCCAGGUCCUGCUCUUCGCCCGACGUGGCACGUCAGUGUCCACCUCCCACUCUUCGUCGGAGUCUACCUCCUGGUUACGAACGUCACCGAUCAACGUGAAGUCGACGAUCGAGAUGAAUGGCCUGGCCUCGUGGUCGAUACUGCAAGGCGCGAGCAACACAGAGCUGUCGAUGUCCGUCCAUGAUCGCAUGUGCUGGCUGCGUGUUUGCCCUAGCAGCGUCUCCUCGAACAGGCGAUCGCGCUCCUCUUCUUGCGACAGAUGGCGCAGGCGAUGCACAUUGACUCGUACAAUGACUCUAUGUGUUCUGCGCGCCGGACCUACCCAUUGUUGACGAUGUCUGCAAUCUCAAGUUAGCACAUAGUUGUGUAAGCUAAUAGGAAAAACCAUCUACAGUUCUAACUUAUAAUAUUAAAACUUCGCUCAAUUAAGUUUCGUACGAGUUACUCCUUUACGAAUGAAUCGACUGCACUGAGGAUCGGCACGAGUGAGACAACAGAGCUUCCCCUCCCCACCGGCGGCUCCUGCGUUGUCUCGCAGGACGACUCAGGGGCGACUAGGGUGUCCCCCUGGUGCCGCCACCCCCUCCAGCCUCCCCUCCCCUUGCCGCCACCUGAGGUACGCUAGGCAAGCCUAGGAAGCCGUCGAUGAAGGUGGCGGCGAGGCUCCCCGUCACUUCGUCCCACGGCGAAGGACCCCAGACGCCGGGGCGGCAAGGCGGCGCAACCUUCGCAACAGGUAGCGUGUGCAGGAUGCGGGGGAGGCCUCCUCGGCUGCUUGGGCAGCGAGGAGCCGGCAGGAGGUGGUCGUGGAGUGGGCUUCUUCCACUCCAAAUCUGAAGGUCGUGCUUUUCUCCUCCUCUGUUUUACUCCCCCUCCGGCCGUGUCUGAUCUGUGGCUAUUGCUACCAGUUCUGGUGCUGGCGGGGUGAUGGUGGUAUAGGAUUGUGUCCGUGGAAAUCCCUUGGCCAGUUCUCCGGCCACGGUGGCGACGGCGCGUGCAUGCAUGGUUUUCUUCCAGGAGGCGCCGCUGAGGACCUGUUCUUAUCCAACCCGUCCCAGAUCCCGGAUGAAAGCCCAAAGCUCGUCCCGGGUUGGCCGGCGGCGGUGCCCUGCGCAUCGUUCUCUUCUUGGAGACACCGCCCGAGGCUCUCUGGUUCUUCGGGAGAGUGGUGCUUGAGGUUGGAGAGCGAUCGUCCGCGACGAGCCCAAUGGGUGAUUUUUUGUGUAGGGUGUGUGUUCCUGAAGGUGUGUGCCUUUCUUCGGAGUGGUGCUCUGCGGCGGCAAGGUCGUGGUUGUGCCAUGGUGGCUCUGCGCCUAAGCCGCCACUACAAAAAAAAACAC
rnacentral:lncRNA from 1 species